rnacentral:rRNA from 1 species
GACGAACGCUGGCGGCGUGCCUAAUACAUGCAAGUCGAACGCAGUGGGGACGGGUGAGUAACACGUGGGUAACCUCCCAUCAGAGGGGAUAACACUUGGAAACAGGUGCUAAACCGAUACUGAUGGAUGGACCCGCGGUGCAUUAGCUAGGUGGUGAGGUAACGGCUCACCAAGGCCACGAUGCAUAGCCAACCUGAGAGUGUGAACGGCCACACUGGGAAUGAAACACGGCCCAGACUCCUACGGGAGGCAGCAGUAGGGAAUCUUCGGCAAUGGACGAAAGUCUGACCAAGCAACGCCGCAUGAGUGAAGAAGGGUUUCGGAUCGUAAAGCUCUUUUGUUAGAGAAGCGGUAACUAACCAAAAAGCCACGGCUAACUACGUGCCAGCAGCCGCGGUAAUUC